GACGAACGCUGGCGGCGUGCUUAACACAUGCAAGUCGAGCGGUAAGGCCCUUUUGGGGGUACACGAGCGGCGAACGGGUGAGUAACACGUGGGUGACCUGCCCUCAGCUCUGGGAUAAGCCUGGGAAACCGGGUCUAAUACUGGAUAUGACUCCAUGACGCAUGUUGUGGGGUGGAAAGCCUUGUGCGGCUGAGGAUGGGCCCGCGGCCUAUCAGCUUGUUGGUGGGGUGANGGCCUACCAAGGCGACGACGGGUAGCCGGCCUGAGAGGGCGACCGGCCACACUGGGACUGAGACACGGCCCAGACUCCUACGGGAGGCAGCAGUGGGGAAUCUUGCGCAAUGGGCGAAAGCCUGACGCAGCGACGCCGCGUGAGGGAUGACGGCC
rnacentral:rRNA from 1 species